UACGAAGGGGGCUAGCGUUGCUCGGAAUCACUGGGCGUAAAGCGCACGUAGGCGGAUUGUUAAGUCGGGGGUGAAAUCCUGGAGCUCAACUCCAGAACUGCCUUCGAUACUGGCGAUCUUGAGUCCGGUAGAGGAGUGUGGAAUUCCCGGUGUAGCGGUGAAAUGCGCAGAUAUCGGGAGGAACACCCGUAGCGAAGGCGGCACUCUGGGCCGGUACUGACGCUGAGGAGCGAAAGCGUGGGGAGCAAACAGG
rnacentral:rRNA from 1 species